UACACAUUGCAGGCUUUCCAUGGAGACUUGAAGAACAGAAUCCACAGAGCAAACACAUUUCCAGGCAACCCAAAGAUGAACUCCAAAAUGAGAACAGGCUUUAAAAUUGAGUGACUGAACCUCAUUCCCUCUCGCCCUUAUUUGAGCCAAGAUAACCUGCGUCAAACAUAUCACUGAGGAAUGCUUCACAGAGGCCUUUUAAUCACAAAAGGCACACAUUUUUCUUCUGGAAGCGCAUGACUGAAAGUAAUAGGACUUCUAAUCGAAUGGAAGUUUUGGACAUCUAUUUCUUUAAAAAUCAAGACUUUUGCUUCUUAAAAGCUUGGUCAAGAAAACAUCUUCAUGAGAUGACAGCGCCUAAUAGUACCUUUGAGUACUAUUGAUUGUUACCUUGACAUAACCGUUAUCAUAAUCAUUAUGCCAUGUCACCUUCAGUGUCUCACAGGGCUCUGUAUGAGUUGUAGAGAUGAAAUAAUAAAUGGCCGUGAGGUUUCCA